rnacentral:rRNA from 1 species
UACGAAGGGUGCAAGCGUUAAUCGGAAUUACUGGGCGUAAAGCGUGCGUAGGUGGUUUUUUAAGUCUGCUGUGAAAGCCCUGGGCUCAACCUGGGAAUGGCGGUGGAUACUGAAAAGCUAGAGUGCGGUAGAGGAGGGUGGAAUUCCCGGUGUAGCGGUGAAAUGCGUAGAGAUCGGGAGGAACAUCAGUGGCGAAGGCGGCCCUCUGGACCAGCACUGACGCUGAGGCACGAAAGCCAGGGGAGCGAACAGG